rnacentral:rRNA from 1 species
GUGAAAUGCGUAGAGAUGGGGAGGAACACCAGUGGCGAAGGCGGCCUGCUGGGCUUUAACUGACGCUGAGGCACGAAAGCGUGGGUAGCAAACAGGAUUAGAUACCCUGGUAGUCCACGCUGUAAACGAUGAUUACUAGGUGUGGGGGGUCUGACCCCUUCCGUGCCGGAGUUAACACAAUAAGUAAUCCACCUGGGGAGUACGGCCGCAAGGUUGAAACUCAAAGGAAUUGACGGGGGCCCGCACAAGCAGUGGAGUAUGUGGUUUAAUUCGAAGCAACGCGAAGAACCUUACCAGGUCUUGACAUCCAACUAACGAGAUAGAGAUAUGUUAGGUGCCCUUCGGGGAAAGUUGAGACAGGUGGUGCAUGGUUGUCGUCAGCUCGUGUCGUGAGAUGUUGGGUUAAGUCCCGCAACGAGCGCAACCCUUGCUAUUAGUUGAUACGCAAGAGCACUCUAAUAGGACUGCCGUUGACAAAACGGAGGAAGGUGGGGACGACGUCAAAUCAUCAUGCCCCUUAUGACAUGGGCUACACACGUACUACAAUGGACGUCAACAGAUGGGAAGCAAAACAGUCGAUGUGGAGCAAACCCCUAAAAACGUUCUCAGUUCAGAUUGCAGGCUGCAACCCGC